rnacentral:rRNA from 1 species
AGAACGAACGCUGGCGGCAUGCCUAACACAUGCAAGUCGAACGCCCGGGGUUUCGGCCCCGGGAGUGGCGCACGGGUGAGUAACGCGUGGGAACCUGCCCAGGAGUGGGGGAUAACCGAGGGAAACUUCGGCUAAUACCGCAUACGACCUGAGGGUGAAAGAUUUAUCGCUCCUGGAGGGGCCCGCGUCGGAUUAGGUAGUUGGUGGGGUAACGGCCUACCAAGCCUGUGAUCCGUAGCUGGUCUGAGAGGAUGAUCAGCCACACUGGGACUGAGACACGGCCCAGACUCCUACGGGAGGCAGCAGUGGGGAAUAUUGGACAAUGGGCGCAAGCCUGAUCCAGCAAUGCCGCGUGGGUGAUGAAGGCCUUAGGGUUGUAAAGCCCUUUCGGCGGGGACGAUGAUGACGGUACCCGCAGAAGAAGCCCCGGCUAACUUCGUGCCAGCAGCCGC